UGGGGGAUAUUGCACAAUGGGCGAAAGCCUGAUGCAGCGACGCCGCGUGGGGGAUGAAGGCCUUCGGGUUGUAAACUUCUUUUGCUCUGAACAAGGCGCACCAUGGGGUGUGUUGAGUGUAGGGGUUGAUUAGCGCCGGCUAACUACGUGCCAGCAGCCGCGGUAAUACGUAGGGCGCGAGCGUUGUCCGGAAUUAUUGGGGGUAACGGGCUUGUAGGUGGCUGGUUGCGUCUGUCGUGAAAGCUCAUGGCUUAACUGUGGGUUUGCGGUGGGUACGGGCGGGCUUGAGUGGAGUAGGGGAGGCUGGAAUUCCUGGUGUAGCGGUGGAAUGCGCAGAUAUCAGGGGGAAUACCGGUGGCGAAGGCGGGUCUCUGGGCUGUUGCUGACACUGAGGAGCGAAAGCAUGGGGAGCGAACAGG
rnacentral:rRNA from 1 species